rnacentral:piRNA from 1 species
UGAAAGAUCUGAUGGAUGAAAAUUGC